rnacentral:lncRNA from 1 species
GGUUCAGAGGGCAGUAUGCAUGAUCUCUAACUCUACCAGUGUUGCGGAAGUGUUUUCUCGCAUUGACCACAAAUUCGAUCUCAUGUAUGCCAAACGUGCCUUCGUGCACUGGUAUGUUGGUGAAGGCAUGGAAGAAGGAGAGUUCUCAGAGGCUCGUGAGGACCUUGCUGCCCUGGAAAAAGAUUAUGAGGAAGUUGGAGCUGACUCUGCCGAAGGAGAUGAAGAGGAUGAGGGAGAUGAGUACUGAGCGAAGGUCAGGGACGACUACACCUUUACGACUAUGAUGUUGCUUUGGAUUUUCAAUGUUUUUUU